UAACCCAGUUUGUCUUCAGAUCAUAUAAAUCUUUUGCCUUCUACUGAAGAUUUCUGGGGAGAGGAGCAAUUCUGAGUUGUGACCCAAUUUUUUGAGGCCUUACAUUAAGCAGGGUU
ensembl:snRNA U5 U5 spliceosomal RNA